rnacentral:rRNA from 1 species
GGCCUAACACAUGCAAGUCGAGCGCUCACUUCGGUGGGAGCGGCGGACGGGUUAGUAACGCGUGGGAAUAUGCCCGGUAUUAAGGAAUAGCCUUUGGAAACGAAGAGUAAUACCUUAUACGCCCUUCGGGGGAAAGAUUUAUCGGUAUCGGAUUAGCCCGCGUAAGAUUAGAUAGUUGGUGGGGUAAUGGCCUACCAAGUCUACGAUCUUUAGCUGGUUUUAGAGGAUGAUCAGCAACACUGGGACUGAGACACGGCCCAGACUCCUACGGGAGGCAGCAGUGGGGAAUCUUAGACAAUGGGCGCAAGCCUGAUCUAGCCAUGCCGCGUGAGUGAAGAAGGCCUUAGGGUCGUAAAACUCUUUCGCCAGAGAUGAUAAUGACAGUAUCUGGUAAAGAAACCCCGGCUAACUCCGUGCCAGCAGCCGCGGUAAUACGGAGGGGGUUAGCGUUGUUCGGAAUUACUGGGCGUAAAGCGCGCGUAGGCGGACUGGAAAGUUGGGGGUGAAAUCCCGGGGCUCAACCUCGGAACUGCCUCCAAAACUAUCAGUCUAGAGUUCGAGAGAGGUGAGUGGAAUUCCAAGUGUAGAGGUGAAAUUCGUAGAUAUUUGGAGGAACACCAGUGGCGAAGGCGGCUCACUGGCUCGAUACUGACGCUGAGGUGCGAAAGUGUGGGGAGCAAACAGGAUUAGAUACCCUGGUAGUCCACACCGUAAACGAUGAAUGCCAGUCGUCGGCAAGUAUACUUGUCGGUGACACACCUAACGGAUUAAGCAUUCCGCCUGGGGAGUACGGUCGCAAGAUUAAAACUCAAAGGAAUUGACGGGGGCCCGCACAAGCGGUGGAGCAUGUGGUUUAAUUCGAAGC